rnacentral:rRNA from 1 species
UACGGAGGAUGCAAGCGUUAUCCGGAAUGAUUGGGCGUAAAGCGUCUGUAGGUGGAUGUUCAAGUCUGCUGUCAAAGACCGGGGCUUAACCCUGGAAAGGCGGUGGAAACUGAAAAUCUAGAGUGCGGUAGGGGCGGAGGGAAUUCCCAGUGUAGCGGUGAAAUGCGUAGAGAUUGGGAAGAACACCGGUGGCGAAAGCGCUCUGCUAGGCCAAAACUGACACUAAGGGACGAAAGCUAGGGGAGCGAAUGGG